AUGAAUAUUCUAUGUUGUAAUUGUCGUGGUGCGAGCAAAGCUGCGACAAUUCAUGUGCUUCGCGACCUCGCGAAGCAAUUUGCCCCGACAGUGCUACGCAUAGUGGAAACACAAAUCUCAAAAGUACGUGUCAAAAAUCUUGCUAGUACUUUAGGUUUUAAUCAUGCUUAUGCUGUUAGUAGUGUUGGCCGUUGUGGCGGAAUUGGUCUUUUUGGAAUGAUGGAAUAA
rnacentral:rRNA from 1 species